UAAGUAUAAGCAAUUAUACCGUGAAACUGCGAAUGGCUCAUUAAAUCAGUUAUCGUUUAUUUGAUAGUACCUUACUACUUGGAUAACCGUGGUAAUUCUAGAGCUAAUACAUGCUAAAAACCCCAACUUCGGGAGGGGUGUAUUUAUUAGAUAAAAAACCAAUGCCCUUCGGGGCUCCUUGGUGAUUCAUGAUAACUUCUCAGAUCGCAUGGCUUUACGCCGGCGACGGUUCAUUCAAAUUUCUGCCCUAUCAACUUUCGAUGGUAAGGUAUUGGCUUACCAUGGUUUCAACGGGUAACGGGGAAUUAGGGUUCGAUUCCGGAGAGGGAGCCUGAGAAACGGCUACCACAUCCAAGGAAGGCAGCAGGCGCGCAAAUUACCCAAUUCCGAUACGGAGAGGUAGUGACAAUAAAUACUGAUACAGGGCUCUUUUGGGUCUUGUAAUUGGAAUGAGUACAAUUUAAACCUCUUAACGAGGAACAAUUGGAGGGCAAGUCUGGUGCCAGCAGCCGCGGUAAUUCCAGCUCCAAUAGCGUAUAUUAAAGUUGUUGCAGUUAAAAAGCUCGUAGUUGAACCUUUGGCCUGGCUGGCAGGUCCGCCUCACCGCGUGCACUUGUCCGGCCGGGCCUUUUCUUCUGGAGAACCGCAUGCCCUUCACUGGGUGUGUUGGGGACCAGGACUUUUACUUUGAAAAAAUUAGAGUGUUCAAAGCAGGCCUUUGCUCGAAUACGUUAGCAUGGAAUAAUAGAAUAGGACGUGCGGUCCUAUUUUGUUGGUUUCUAGGACCGCCGUAAUGAUUAAUAGGGACAGUCGGGGGCAUCAGUAUUCAAUUGUCAGAGGUGAAAUUCUUGGAUUUAUUGAAGACUAACUACUGCGAAAGCAUUUGCCAAGGAUGUUUC
rnacentral:rRNA from 1 species